ensembl:misc_RNA Metazoa_SRP Metazoan signal recognition particle RNA
GCCGGGCAUGGUGGCUCAUGCCUGUAAUCCAAGCAUUUUGGAGGCCAAGGCGGGUGGAUCACCUGAGGUUGGGAGUUCAAGACCUGCCUGACCAACAUGGUGAAACCCCAUCUUUA